rnacentral:rRNA from 1 species
ACAUGCAGUCGAGGGGCAGCAUCGCGAUAGCUUGCUAUUGCGGAUGGCGACCGGCGCACGGGUGAGUAACGCAUAUCCAACCUUCCCGCAACUGGGGAAUAACCUUGCGAAAGUAAGACUAAUACCCCAUGGCCUCCAUAGAAGACAUCUGAAAUGGAGUAAAGGUUCCGGCCGGUUGCGGAUGGGGAUGCGUCCGAUUAGCUUGACGGCGGGGUAACGGCCCACCGUGGCAUCGAUCGGUAGGGGUUCUGAGAGGAAGGUCCCCCACAUUGGAACUGAGACACGGUCCAAACUCCUACGGGAGGCAGCAGUGAGGAAUAUUGGUCAAUGGGCGGAAGCCUGAACCAGCCAAGUAGCGUGAAGGACGACUGCCCUAUGGGUUGUAAACUUCUUUUAUGCGGGGAUAAAGUUCGCCACGUGUGGCGUUUUGCAGGUACCGCAUGAAUAAGGACCGGCUAAUUCCGUGCCAGCAGCCGCGGUAAUACGGAAGGUCCAGGCGUUAUCCGGAUUCAUUGGGUUUAAAGGGAGCGUAGGCCGCCUUUUAAGCGUGUUGUGAAAUGUAGGGGCUCAACCCCUGCACUGCAGCGCGAACUGGAGGGCUUGAGUACACACAAAGUAGGCGGAAUUCAUGGUGUAGCGGUGAAAUGCUUAGAUAUCAUGAAGAACCCCGAUUGCGAAGGCAGCUUACUGGAGUGUAACUGACGCUGAAGCUCGAAAGCGCGGGUAUCGAACAGGAUUAGAUACCCUGGUAGUCCGCGCGGUAAACGAUGGAUGCCCGCUGUUUGCCAAUUUGGUAAGCGGCCAAGCGAAAGCGUUAAGCAUCCCACCUGGGGAGUACGCCGGCAACGGUGAAACUCAAAGGAAUUGACGGGGGCCCGCACAAGCGGAGGAACAUGUGGGUU